CUGGAUCGUCUCGUGAGCUACAGUGAGCUACAAAUGGCGCCAGGUUCUUCAGCUUUGAAUGCCUUCCUACAAAUGAUAACUGGAUAAAAGCAUGGGAGACUUGAUUGAAUUCUUGAAACAAAGAGAAGUCUCUGAGGAAAUUAUACAGACCUUGGAGAAUGAGAAGAUUGAUGCCAGUGUCAUAAGUCUAAUGACAGAUGAGGAGCUGAAGAC